rnacentral:rRNA from 1 species
ACGGAAGGCUGCAGUGAGGAAUAUUGGUCAAUGGGCGGAAGCCUGAACCAGCCAAGUCGCGUGAAGGAUGAAGGUAUUAUGUAUUGUAAACUUCUUUAGACGCAGAGAAAUAAGAGGGUCGUGACCCUUGAUGCUAGUAUGCGUAGAAUAAGGAUCGGCUAACUCCGUGCCAGCAGCCGCGGUAAUACGGAGGAUCCGAGCGUUAUCCGGAUUUAUUGGGUUUAAAGGGUGCGCAGGCGGCCCUGUAAGUCAGGGGUUAAAGCGUGGAGCACACCUCCAUCCCGCCGUUGAUACUGCAGGGCUUGAUUGCGGUCGAGGUUGGCGGAAUUCGCCGUGUAGCGGUGAAAUGCAUAGAUAUGGCGAAGAACUCCGAUUGCGUAGGCAGCUGACCAGGCCGUAAAUGACGCUCAUGCACGAAAGUGCGGGGAUCGAACAGGAUUAGAUACCCUGGUA